AUUCAUUUCCUUAUUACCCUGAAAAGAUUAUAUCUAUGUUUUAUUAAGAAUUUGAGCUAAGCAGGGUUGGGUCUAGUUAGUACUUGGAUGGGAGACCACCUAGGAAUACCAGGUGCUGUAGGUG
rnacentral:rRNA from 1 species